rnacentral:sRNA from 1 species
AUUUUGCGUUAGGGAUUGAAGCGAAAAUCCUUUUUGUUGAAUUGGCAUUGUGGGCUGAACAAAAAGAUUGUAGCGGAAAGCCCGACCCGAC